AGAUCUGGUGAGAGAUCGUGGCGGAAGUCGCCCAGUCCCAGCAAAACCAGGAAAAGGAACGACGAGGAGAACUCGCUAGAAAGAGAGAUCGUAUCCACGGGAGAAGAUGAAGAUAUCAAAAAUGGAGAUGUAGCAGCGGAGUAAAUUUCUUACUGCAUAAACCAAGAGCUACUGGUGUUUUAAAGCAAUGACCAAGUUAAAUGUUGGGAGUCCAUUUCUUUCUUAAUUUUUUUGGAAAAAUACACGAGAAGAAGCCUCAGAAUGUGUCAACUCCCAGCAAAUAAUUACAUGGUUUCAGAUUAUGCAAAAUUUCAGUGGAAGGCGCUUUCAAAAUGUGUGACCCUGGUGCCAGAUAUUUCGUCAUAUUUCUUAUCAGGGGUAUCAAUAUUUGAUUCUUCGCAACCAAGCAGUAUUCCCAGUUAAAACUUUCAUUUUAUCCUAAAACAAAAAACUCGAACUGUGGACAGCUUUAACUUCAAGUGAUUUUUUAACGUAUUUUAAUUGAACUAAAUGUAAGGAUGCACGCUCGUCUGUCUUCUGUCAGUUAUCUUGAAAGUAUUAAAACAAAUGAUGCUAUUAAAAUGAUCAAUGGAAAAGCCAACGGUAUCUUGCUUGCUUAAACAAAGACUUAAUGAUGUUAGUGCCAUUUAAAAAAACCUUUAAAGCCUUUACCAGCACAAAGUCUAAUAAAGGGUUAUUUUCUUUACAUAGGUAAAUUGGAUUAGUCGCAGUAUGUUAUGAAGACGACAUUAAAUAUCUACACACUUCUAAGUGUAUCCUUGAAACUGUGAAUAAACUGUUGUAAUAUUUUC